UGUCACUGUCAAACACGUCACUGGCAUCCUCAUGCAGGUGCAGAAGCAGGCGCAGAGAGGCCGCCUGACUGGCCCGAGGUCAUACAGCCACAGAGGAGCCUGGAGGUGGGUGGAGAGACUCCAGGUAGGCCGGUAUUUAUGGCUCCCAUAAG
rnacentral:lncRNA from 12 species